AUUGAACGCUGGCGGCAGGCCUAACACAUGCAAGUCGAGCGGAUGAAGGGAGCUUUCUCCUGGAUUCAGCGGCGGACGGGUGAGUAAUGCCUAGGAAUCUGCCUGGUAUUGGGGGAUAACGUCCGGAAACGGGCGCUAAUACCGCAUACGUCCUGAGGGAGAAAGUGGGGGAUCUUCGGACCUCACGCUAUCAGAUGAGCCUAGGUCGGAUUAGCUAGUUGGUGGGGUAAAGGCCUACCAAGGCGACGAUCCGUAACUGGUCUGAGAGGAUGAUCAGUCACACUGGAACUGAGACACGGUCCAGACUCCUACGGGAGGCAGCAGUGGGGAAUAUUGGACAAAGGGCGAAAGCCUGAUCCAGCCAUGCCGCGUGUGUGAAGAAGGUCUUCGGAUUGUAAAGCACUUUAAGUUGGGAGGAAGGGCAGUAAGUUAAUACCUUGCUGUUUUGACGUUACCAACAGAAUAAGCACCGGCUAACUUCGUG
rnacentral:rRNA from 1 species